GGAUGAGGACGAGGACGAGGAGGAGAAGGAUGAGGAUGAGGAAAAGGAUGAAGAUGCAGAGGACAAGGAGGACGAAGAGGUCGAGGAGAAGGAGGAGGAGGAGAAGAAGGAUGAGGAUGAGUAAAAGGAUGAAGAUGCAGAGGACAAGAAGGACGUCCUCGUCCUCGUCCUCGUCCUCGUCCUCCUCGUCCUCCUCAUCCUCGUCAUCCUCCUCAUCUUCCUUGUCCUCGUCCUCCUCCUCGUCCUCCUCCUUCUCCUCCUCGUCCUCAUCCUCGUCCUCGUCCUCGUCCUCCUCCUUGUCCUCCUCCUCGUCCUCCUCUUCCACUUCCUCCUCCUCGUCCUCCUCGUCCUCCUCCCCCUCUUCCUCCUCCUCCUCCUCUUCCUCCUCCUCCUCGUCCUCCUCGUCCUCCUCAUCCUGCUCUUCCUCCUCCUCCUCCUCCUCGUCCUCCUCCUCGUCGUCCUCGUCCUCUUCUUCAUCCUCCUCCUCCUCCUCCUCGUCCUCCUCCUCCUCCUUGUCCUCCUCGUCCUCCUCUUCCUCCUUGUCCUCUUCCUUGUCCUCCUCCUCCUCUUCCUCCUUGUCCUCGUCCUCGUCGUCGUCCUCCUCAUCCUCCUCGUCCUCCUCAUUGUCCUCCUCCACAUCCUCAUUCUCAUCCUCUUUAUCCUCCUAUUCAUUCUCCUCCUCCUCGUCUUCCUCGUCCUCGUCCUCCUCCUCGUCCUUGUCCUCCUCCUUCUCGUCCUCGUCCUCCUCCUCGUCCUCGUCCUCCUCCUCGUCCUCGUCCUCCUCGUCCUCCUCUUCCUCGUCCUCGUCCUUGUCCUCAUCAUCCUCCUUGUCCUUCUCCUCGUCCUCCUCUUCCUCCUCCUCGUCCUCCUCGUCCUCCUCCUCGUCCUCGUCCUCCUCCUCGUCUUGCUCCUCCUCCUCCUCAUCCUCUUUGUCCUCUGCAUCUUCAUCCUUUUCCUCAUCCUCAACCUUCUUCUCCUCCUCCUCAUCCUCCUCCUUGUCCUCCUCCUUGUCCUCCUCCUCCUCCUCCUCCGCCUCCUCCUCCUCGUCCUCCUCCUCCUCCUCCUCCUCCUCCUCCUCCUCUUUCUCCUCUUCCUCGUCCUCUUCCUCGUCCUCUUCCUCGUCCUCCUCCUCCUCCUCCUCCUCGUCCUCCUCCUCCUUGUCCUCGUCCUUGUCAUCCUCCUCCUCCUCCCUCUCCUCCUCCUCCUCCUCCUCUGUGUGUGUUUCUCAGGAUUCAAUGACUCUAGGAUUCCAGGAACCUGGAACUCUGGGAUUCCAUGGCUCUGUGACCCCAUGGAUGGAUUC
rnacentral:lncRNA from 1 species